rnacentral:rRNA from 1 species
UACAGAGGUCCCAAGCGUUGUUCGGCUUCACUGGGCGUAAAGGGUGCGUAGGUGGCGGGGAAAGUUUGAUGUGAAAUCUCCGAGCUUAACUCGGAAACUGCAUUGAAAACUACUCUGCUUGAGGGUUGGAGGGGGGACUGGAAUUCUCGGUGUAGCGGUGAAAUGCGUAGAUAUCGAGAGGAACACCAGUGGCGUAGGCGGGUCCCUGGACAACUCCUGACACUGAGGCACGAAAGCUAGUGGAGCAAACAGG